GAUGAACGCUAGCGGGAGGCUUAACACAUGCAAGUCGAGGGGCAGCAUAGGGUAGCAAUACUCUGAUGGCGACCGGCAAACGGGUGAGUAACGCGUAUGCAACCUACCCUGUACAGGGGGAUAACCCGGAGAAAUUCGGACUAAUAUCCCGUAAUAAUAUCCGGAGGCAUCUUUGGAUAUUUAAAGUUCCGACGGUACGGGAUGGGCAUGCGUAACAUUAACUGGUUGGUAAGGUAACGGCUUACCAAGGCUAUGAUGUUUAGGGGUCCUGAGAGGGUGGUCCCUCACACUGGUACUGAGACACGGACCAGACUCCUACGGGAGGCAGCAGUGAGGAAUAUUGGUCAAUGGGCGCAAGCCUGAACCAGCCAUCCCGCGUGCAGGAAGACGGCCCUAUGGGUUGUAAACUGCUUUUCCAGGGAGAGAAACUUACGCACGUGUUGCGUGACUGACGGUACCCUGGGAAUAAGCAUCGGCUAACUCCGUG
rnacentral:rRNA from 1 species